GAGGGUCUGCACCUCCCGUAAACGGCAUCGUAACAGUAGGAUUAUACAAUUUCCCACGUUUCUUAAAUGUUUGUAAUCCACGCGCGACGAAUUGCCCACGCAGAUUCUAAGUUGCCGAGUGUGAGUCGGACCGUGUCUCCGUUGCUCAGGGCAAAGAAAUAAAGAACGACAGGCGCCGAAUUCUUUGGGUGAAGAAGAAGAAGAAGAAGAAGAAGAAGAAUAUGAAGAGCGAAAGCAUGUACUCCAACAACUCAGAUUACACUAAUGGCUACC
rnacentral:lncRNA from 1 species